rnacentral:lncRNA from 1 species
CAUUAGGCGCGUGCGUGCGUGCGUGUUGGUAGAGAGGGGAUUCAGUUCAGGCAUGGCACAAAUUACACUCUUCAAUCUCUCUGUCUGGACUGGGUGGGAUCCGUGAUUUCAACAGAACUAGACUUCACAGCUAUGGAUCCUGACGACAUGGACGAAGAUCAACUGCUUGAUUACGCUAUUCAGAUGAGCAUUCAAGAGUCAUGCCCCAAAUAUUAUUAUCAUCUUUAGAGAGGUAAUGCAUGAUACGAAUACACUUCUGAAAAUACUACAUGUCCUAGUCUACUUUUGCAUUUUGCUAUAUGCUGUCAUUGUUGAGAUCAAAAUGACAUGAACACUUUUAUUAAUAUUAUGCUUACAUAAAUUAUUUUGGAACACUGUCUGAACAUGAUCUCCUCUGUUUCAAUAUUCUCAGUGAUGAACAUCUGAAGAUCCUAAAGGCUAUUGAUCGAGGUAAAUGCAUUGUAACUCUGUCUGAUUACUGAGAUUGUCAUUUUCACAUUCAGGGUUUUAUGGGUAACACUUUACUUGACUUGACACCCAGCAACAACACAUUAUGACUGUGUUAUGACGCUGGGUGUCAUGUAAAGUCCUACUGUUUUAUUUCAAUUAUGAACCAGGUUGGAUAGGCAUUUUUUGCAAAAAUAUAUUACAUUGGCCCACUAAAUGAAUGCACAGCCCACGCAAAGCAAACCGUGGUGUUGUAUCUCACACUGCUGAUGUACUGUACUCAAAAAAACUUUGCAAUGAAACUGCAUCAAGCCC